rfam:Triticum aestivum genome assembly, contig: Triticum_aestivum_CS42_TGACv1_scaffold_061053_1DL
UAACUAUUACCUCCGUCCCAAAAAGCUUGUUUAGAUUUAUCUAGAUACAGAUGUAUCUAACACUAGAACGUCUCUAGAUACAUCCGCAUCCAGACAAAUCAAAGACAAGCUUUUUGGGAUUGAGGGAGUAUUUG